UGAGAUCAGGUUGCCACAAGGAAGAAUGCACUUUGUUCUGCUUCUCCCAGCUGCAAAAUUUACCGGUUGGCUUUCCUCCAUCUGUGUCCAGGAGAGAUAGAUAUUGCCUCUGACACAUCCUCUUUCUCCUCUGGGGAGGAACAACCAAAAGGAGCACCAACAAAACAUUUAUUGUACCUUCUCAGUACAUCCUCCAGGUACCUUUUUUUCUUUUCUG
rnacentral:lncRNA from 1 species